ensembl:misc_RNA Metazoa_SRP Metazoan signal recognition particle RNA
GCCGGGCGAGGUGGCGGGCGCCUGUAGUCCCAGCUACUCGGGAGGCUGAGGCAGGAGAAUGGCGUAAACCCGGGAGGCGGAGCUUGCAGUGAGCUAAGAUCCGGCCACUAUUCUCCAUUCUUUUUUUUGAGACGGAGUCUUGCUCUGUCCCCCAGGCUGGAGCAUAGUGGCCGGAUCUCAGCUCACUGCAAGCUCCGCCUCCCGGGUUUACGCCAUUCUCCUGCCUCAG